rnacentral:lncRNA from 1 species
GAAAAAGUUUAUGUUAAACUGGUGUUUUAUAUAUUAUAUAGAUUAGAUCAUUACCCACAAUAUACACGGCUCAGAUUUUACAUUAAUCGAUAAGCAAGAUUUUAUUUCUGUAAGAAAAAAAAAAAAAAAUUGAUACACACUCUUCACUCAUUGGUCAUGAAACCUAAAUGUUGGGCUUUUGAGCUUUGGAGAGUCCUAUGUACAACGCUGUCUCCACUUCGACAGUUUGUGCCUUCGGUUGAACAAUAGGUGACAAUUGCAGCUGCAGUGUUUCGCACUGUCAAAUCAGAUCAAUGAAAAUUAAAAACUAAUUAAUAGGUAAUUGUGUUUCCAUAUAUAUAUAUAUAUAUAACUAAACUUUUAUCAAAUUCAAAUUUCGAACGUGAAUUACAAAUUCUAUCUUCAAAUAUAAGAAUUUUUAAUUGUUGUGAUUUUUUUACAUGUAAGCUCUCAAAUUAAUAUUAAUGUAGACGCCUGAAAUAUUUAAUGGCUUAAAAGAUCAAUGUACUAAACGACGUAGUUGAAUGUCAAGACGUUCAACUAGUCACUAUAACAUUAAUUUGUCACUUGAGCUAACUAAGAUGACAUUAAUUUAUCAUUUGAGCUAGCUACGUUUGAUAUUAAUUCGCCAAAAAUUAAGAACCGUAUAAAAGAUUAGAAAAAUAGAAAAUUCGUGUAUUUGAAGGCAGAAUUUUAAAAUCAUGUGAAAAAGUAAAAUCAAAAAUCGGGUGAAAGUUCUUCUUUUUAAGCACAAUUAUCCCGAAAAUAAAUUCUAAAUUUGAAAUUUAUUACCCACUUUCUUUCUCAACUGUAGAUGUUCUUUCAUUAGAUGCUUCUCCUGCAUCAUCAAAUAUACAACAUCAAAAAGCACAAUUAUCCCUAAAAUGAAAUUCCACCGUUUGGUCUUGAAAUAUAUAAAAACACACAAACACAGUACAUAUAUAUACCUGUUCCUUCAGCAGAUCAAUUUGCUCUUUGAAUACCGUAUUCUGUGAAUGAGAGGGAAAACAAGUUUCGUAUAGUAUAUAUUGAGGAACCAAUUGCAUAUACACACUAAUUUAUUUUGCCAAGAUAAAAAGCAUAGGAUUAUUUUUAAAUUAUAACCCGAACCUUGACUCUAUAGCAAUUUUGGAGCCCAAACUUAAAAAUAUUAUAAAUUGAUAUACUUUGUACUUAUUAAAUUCCAUUGUUCACUUAAUUUCCGUUGUUCACUUAUGGGUGUAUUUUCUUUGAGGGUGCGUUCUCUUUAUUGAAAUUUAUAAUGGAAAAAAGGAUAAACAAAAUUUCAUCCUUUAAAUCUAAUCUUUCUUUUCCCUUAUUUCCUACAAAAUAGGAUUUGACACUUACUCAUUCCUCAUUUUCACUGUAAAUGAGGGAUAAUAUUAUCAAACCAAAAAUUGAAGGAUAAUAUUAUCCCUCCUUUGUAGUGAAAAUGAUGAAUGAAUAAAGGUCAAAUUCUAUUUUGUAGGAAAUGAGGAAAAAUAAAAGAGAGAUUUAAAGGCAUGAAAUUUGUUUAUUCCUCAUUUUCCCAUGAUAAAUUUACAACCAAAGAGAACGCACCUGAUUGAUAAAUUUAUCAUUUGAAAAUGAAGGAUAACAAAAAUUUAUCAAUUAUAUGUCUAAUUUUUUUUCCCAACAUUUGACACAAAAGAUAAGUUCACAAUUUUUCUUUCCUUAUUUAUUUCACUUCAAGGAUGGAUAAUAUUAUCCCUCCUUUGUAGUGAAAAUGAGGAAUGAAUAAGGGUCAAGUAGGAAAUGAGGAAAAAGAAGGAUUUAAAGGGUGAAUUUUUAUUUAUCCUUUCUUUUUCCAUAAUAAAUUUACAACCAAAGAGAACGCACCCUAAAGGGAUAAAUUUGUGUUAUCCUUCCUUGUCCAAUGAUAAAUUUAUCUAUCAAAGUAAACGCACCCUGAUUGAUAAAUUUAUCAUGAAAAAAAGAAGGAUAACAAAAAUUUUAUCAUUUAAAUGCAUCAUUUUUUU